rnacentral:rRNA from 7 species
UUAAAUUGAAGAGUUUGAUCAUGGCUCAGAUUGAACGCUGGCGGCAGGCCUAACACAUGCAAGUCGAACGGUAACAGGAAGCAGCUUGCUGCUUUGCUGACGAGUGGCGGACGGGUGAGUAAUGUCUGGGAAACUGC